GCUUGGCUGGCUCAGGAGGUGUAACAUGUGACUUUUGAUCUCAGGGUUGUGAGUUCAAGUCCCAUGCUGAGCA
rnacentral:tRNA from 1 species